UACAGAGGUCUCAAGCGUUGUUCGGAUUCAUUGGGCGUAAAGGGUGUGUAGGUGGCGCCGUAAGUCGGGUGUGAAAUUUCGGAGCUUAACUCCGAAACUGCAUUCGAUACUGCGGUGCUUGAGGACUGGAGAGGAGACUGGAAUUUACGGUGUAGCAGUGAAAUGCGUAGAUAUCGUAAGGAAGACCAGUGGCGAAGGCGGGUCUCUGGACAGUUCCUGAAACUGAGACACGAAGGCCAGGGGAGCAAACGGG
rnacentral:rRNA from 1 species